AAAAAAGAAGACAAUGCUGCCAAGUGCUUAAAAAGACAUGUCUUGGCCUAUUACAAGAAAAAACUUUUAAAAUAUAUACAGAGUUACAUACACCAAAAAAAUAUUGCUUCUAUAGAAAAAGAAUGAAACAAAGCACUGAAAACAUGAAGUAUUCCUUCUUGUUUGCACAUUUGUUACCAUUUUUACGCAAUCAAUAUUGUUAGUGAUUUAGAGAUCUAACUAUAUAUGGUUCCUUUCAUAAAACAAGAUGAGGCCGUGAUUGUAAUGGACUUAGUCUUUCCAUAGAUCUAACAGCCGAUUUAUUUUCAGUAGAGGUCCUACUACAGGGUUUCCAUAUGUAAUUCUCUGGAAAAAUCUUACUACAUCCAUAGUAUCCUUAUUUGUGACUAUAUAUCAAGUCCUUUUGUACACUUUUAUUUUUUCCCGCUUCACAAAUUCUAUUGAAAAAUUGUUGCAUAGAUUAUCUAUGGAAAGUUUAGAUUUCCCUUUCUUGUUGCUCCCAUAACCAUCACCGCUUUUUAGGCGAUUUCCACUCCAAAGUGUAUUCGCAUAAGAGACUUUAAUGGGAUCUUUAACUCCAUAGUUAGACCCCAUGUUGCUCAGACUUGGGUGCAGAUGUCUGAUAAAAAUGCAGAUCUAUAAGUCGGAUCCUCUAUGAUCCAAUAUUUUAGCAUUCGUGUAUAGAUCCUUGUAUGGAUACGACUGUGGGAAUUCGGCUAAAAGAAAUUCAAGUAUCCAUACAAAGAGUUCUGAAAAAAUUAUUAGAUAUUAUGCGAUAUGAAGUUGAACAAUUUGGGGAAGAGGACAGUGUUCUCAUAAAAAAAUAGAAUGAUUUAGACCCAAAAUUUCACUCUUGUCGUUUAUAUGAGCUUCACGGGAGCUUGCCGGAGUUCACCUUUUGAUGGUGGUGAAGUCCUCUUGCUCGUUGUUCUAUAAAAGAUUGCGGUUGAGUUAUCGUCGUUCAUUUUUAUUCGUGCGAGGAAUCUUGGGAUUUCGGAGAGUAGGGUGAGCUCGUGGCAUCUGGAGCUACCGGUUUUCAUCUGUUUUGUUUAGGCUUAGUCUUUAUAUAGAAUUACAAACAACAUGUACUUGUGUUGUAAUUGUGAUAAGCCAAAUCCAGUAAACUCCAGCGACCAGUGGCUCGAGAUAGCCAAAGAAGAGAACAAUACCUCUAAUGAAUUCAUAAAUGUACAAUGUUCGUUUAUCUAUCAAAAAGGUCUUCACAUCCAAAUGUAUGCAAAUGAUAUUUUAUUGCUGGAAAUUUGUACUGACCUGAUGGCGAA